rnacentral:rRNA from 1 species
UACAGAGGGGGCAAGCGUUGUUCGGAAUUACUGGGCGUAAAGGGCGCGUAGGCGGCCUGCUAAGUCGAACGUGAAAUCCCUGGGCUCAACCCAGGAACUGCGUCCGAUACUGGUUGGCUUGAAUCCGGGAGAGGGAUGUGGAAUUCCAGGUGUAGCGGUGAAAUGCGUAGAUAUCUGGAGGAACACCGGUGGCGAAGGCGGCAUCCUGGACCAACACUGACACUGAUGAGCGAAAGCCAGGGGAGCAAACGGG